AGAACGAACGCUGGCGGCAUGCCUAACACAUGCAAGUCGAACGAGACCUUCGGGUCUAGUGGCGCACGGGUGCGUAACGCGUGGAAUCUGCCCUUGGGUACGGAAUAACAGUUAGAAAUGACUGCUAAUACCGUAUAAUGACUUCGGUCCAAAGAUUUAUCGCCCAGGGAUGAGCCCGCGUAGGAUUAGCUUGUU
rnacentral:rRNA from 1 species